AUACAUGCAUGUUGAACGGGAUGUAGCAAUACAUUCAGUAGCGAAUGGGUGAGUAACACGUACCUAACCUACCUUUAAGACUGGGAUAACUAUUGGAAACAAUAGCUAAUACCGGAUAUAGUUAUUUAUCGCAUGAUGAGUAAUAGAAAGGAGCUUCACAGCUUCACUUAAAAAUGGGGGUGCGGAACAUUAGUUAGUUGGUAGGGUAAUGGCCUACCAAGACGAUGAUGUUUAGCCGGGCCGAGAGGCUGUACGGCCACACUGGGACUGAGAUACGGCCCAGACUCCUACGGGAGGCAGCAGUAAGGAAUUUUCCACAAUGAGCGAAAGCUUGAUGGAGCGACACAGCGUGCAGGAUGAAGUUCUUCGGAAUGUAAACUGCUGUUAUAAGGGAAGAAAAAAUAGAAUAGGAAAUGAUUUUAUCUUGACGGUACCUUAUUAGAAAGCGACGGCAAACUAUGUGCCAGCAGCCGCGGUAAUACAUAGGUCGCAAGCGUUAUCCGGAAUUAUUGGGCGUAAAGCGUCCGUAGGUUUUUUGCUAAGUCUGGAGUUAAAUGCUGAAGCUCAACUUCAGUCCGCUUUGGAUACUGGCAAAAUAGAAUUAUAAAGAGGUUAGCGGAAUUCCUAGUGAAGCGGUGGAAUGCGUAGAUAUUAGGAAGAACACCAAUAGGCGAAGGCAGCUAACUGGUUAUAUAUUGACACUAAGGGACGAAAGCGUGGGGAGCAAACAGGAUUAGAUACCCUGGUAGUCCACGCCGUAAACGAUGAUCAUUAGUUGGUGGAAUAAUUUCACUAACGCAGCUAACGCGUUAAAUGAUCCGCCUGAGUAGUAUGCUCGCAAGAGUGAAAUUUAAAGGAAUUGACGGGAACCCGCACAAGCGGUGGAGCAUGUGGUUUAAUUUGAAGAUACGCGUAGAACCUUACCCACUCUUGACAUCUUCUGCAAAGCUAUAGAGAUAUAGUGGAGGUUAACAGAAUGACAGAUGGUGCAUGGUUGUCGUCAGCUCGUGUCGUGAGAUGUUAGGUUAAGUCCUGCAACGAGCGCAACCCUUUUCUUUAGUUACUAAUAUUAAGUUAAGGACUCUAGAGAUACUUGCCUGGGUAACCAGGAGGAAGGUGGGGACGACGUCAAAUCAUCAUGCCUCUUACGAGUGGGGCAACACACGUGCUACAAUGGUCGGUACAAAGAGAAGCAAUAAUGGUGACAUGGAGCAAAUCUCAAAAAACCGAUCUCAGUUCGGAUUGAAGUCUGCAACUCGACUUCAUGAAGUCGGAAUCGCUAGUAAUCGUAGAUCAGCUACGCUACGGUGAAUACGUUCUCGGGUUUUGUACACACCGCCCGUCGCACCAUGGGAGUUGGUAAUGCCCAAAGUCGGUGAGUUAACUUCGGAGACCAUUGCCUAAGGCAGGACUGAUGACUGGGGUAAAGUCGUAACAAGGUAUCCCUACGAGAACGUGGGGAUGGAACACCU
rnacentral:rRNA from 1 species